rnacentral:lncRNA from 1 species
AAGAAGAUGCAGCACCAUUCACUUUUUUUAUAAUAGAAUUGGAGCUAGCCCUAGCAAAGAAGGAGUAUUCACGAAUUAUGACUAGCCUAAGCUAGGUGGCCCUCGUAUAUAGUAGUAAGGAUUCUUUCCAGUUUUUUUAAAGAAAGAGCUUGUUUGACAAAGAAUUUCUAACUAAUAGAGCUUUAAUUAAAUUUACCAUUUCUUGCGAAGUUUUCUCUUGUUUUGAGAAGUUUUUGAUAAAUACAAGACUCUUUCCCUUCUUCGGUUUCUAAUUUAGUAAAGUAUUCCAUCAGCGUCUUCCUAGUAAACUCUGCAUCUUUAUUUAAGAUUCCGUUAGCGACCAAGCUGUAUUCCAUCAGCGUCUUCCUAGUAAACUUUUCAUCUUUAUUUAUGAUUCCGUUAACAACCAAGCUCUCUUUUUGCUGAGUCUAGAAUGGAUUGGGAUCCAACUGGGCCAUGCGAGCGAUAAUACCUCUCUUUAACCUUAUUAUCGCAUCAAUUUCAUCGUCGUUUACGUCACGUUGUGGAGUCACAGUUGAAAGACGAUGUUUAAUGGUGUCGUGUUGAAAGAUCCAAACAGGAUCCUUACAUGGAUUGGGAUCCUGAUGUGCUGGCGACUGCGGUUCAUUUCUAGCAUACUGAGGUUGGAUGGGGGCCGGUUGAUCCCCAAAAUCCCCCUCUCCCAGAAAAGGAAGUUGUGGUUGGGCAGAGGCAGGGAUCUUCUCCAGUGGUCAUUAGUAAUGCACUUUGUGGUCCUUAUUGGGUGCUGGCGAAGCAUAAGAGGAGAUUCUUAACGUCAGGAAUAUCGGCCUUAGCAUCUUUCUUAUUAAAAAUUAGAUUCUCUUUCUCUACUUGAGAAGGUUCUUACCAGGCAUACUACUCAUCGGUUAUUUUGCCCUUUGGGAUCGAAACAACCUAUUAAGGGUUGUCGCCUACAUAACCUACCUCCGGAAGAAGGUCUCAGAUCACUGUAGUUCGAGCCCUUUUGUUAAAGCAGUUCCUGUACUUUGAAUGAAUUCAAGCUAGUAAAGUAGUCUGCUUGAAGGGGGCCCUCCUCACCAUUAUUGGGUGCUGGCGAAGCAUAAGGGGAGAUUCUUAACGUCAGGAAUAUCGGCCUUAUCAUCUUUCGUAUUAAAAAUUAGAUUCUCUUUCUCUACUUGAGAAGGUUCUUACCAGGCAUACUACUCAUCGGUUAUUUUGCCCUUUGGGAUCGAAACAACCUAUUAAGGGUUGUCGCCUACAUAACCUACCUCCGGAAGAAGGUCUCAGAUCACUGUAGUUCGAGCCCUUUUGUUAAAGCAGUUCCUGUACUUUGAAUGAAUUCAAGCUAGUAAAGUAGUCUGCUUGAAGGGGGCCCUCCUCACCUCUCCCCCUUCCCCUUAUCAUAGAACCAAAAACUAACCAUGAUACAAGGGCCUGCCUCUCAGUACGUGAAAACGGAAGUGAAACUCUUUCACUGUCUUACUUUGGCCCCUCUCUAGCCAAAUCAAAAAAUUUGAACAACCCCCGAGACACCAAACAAAUUCCCUAGAACUCACGCAUAUACCAUGUCAGCCUCCACCUUCAGAUCCUUACUGUCCAUCUUUAUCAGCCAACUCCCCCGUUU